GCAGGCGGCAGAGGCGGCCACCUGCCUCCCACCGAAGGGCACUUGCUUGCGGGUUGUUGAUGUGGGAAACGCCCCCCCCCCCUUUGCAGACGGGGCAGGAGGCGGGAGUUGGAGAUGGACUCAGAAAAAUCCACACCCCGCCCCCAAAUAUUUCAUUUUCUGGAUGGAGGGCCUGGAGAUUUCUCACAUGUAUUAUGAAGAAGGACACAGUGUGAAUCCAAUUUUGGAACCAGGAGUUGGAUACGAGGCUUGGUCCACCCACGACAUGCAUUGACCUGAUAUUGCAGGGCCCAGUGCAAUUUCCUUUUUGGUUUAGGAACAGCCAUCUUCAAAGGGCCACCACAUGCAAGAUGGAUCAAGCUUGUUUUCUCCUGUUUUGGGAGCUAGGAUCCAUGGCUUAUUCACACCUCCAUUUCCCCUGCUGCUUUCCCUCAGGGAAACCCAAUCUGUAGAGCUGAAUUGGAACAAACAGCAAUUGGGCUUUCUGUGGAUUGCCAUUUGUUCUGAUUUAGCACUAAAGAGCAGAUUUUCAAGGGGAAAGUAGUGGGGUAAAGGCAAAACUGCUCAGACUCGUGCCUAGAAUGCACUGGACCAGUGGAAAAUUGCUUGGACCCAUGCUUUCUAGGCACUGGACAAGCAGAAGUGUGAUCAAGCCUUAAAUUGUUGUACUUCACAUGAUUAUAAUGAAGAUUUGUUAGAAAUGGCCUAGCAUUGAUGUAACUUUGACUUCUUAAUUCUGAGGUUGUAUAGUGCUUAAUAUUAGCAGCAGGGUAAUAAGUCUGGGGGGACACGGGUGGCGCUGUGGGUUAAACCACAGAGCCUAGGACUUGCUGAUCGGAA